GCGAUGAGGACGCGCUCGGGACACUCACGUUUUCUGCACCGGCUUCCGCCGCUUGCGACUGGCGUAGGUGAUGUUGGCGCUGCUGCUGUUCAUGGUGCCCAGCCGACGGCGGCGGCUACUCCCCGGGCACUGGCGGCCGGGUCCCCAGAACCCGGUGUAGGCUGGGACGACUGCGGCGGCCGGCGCCGGGUUCCGCGAAGCCGCGCCCGCUCCACCUGCGUCCUCUCCGGACAGUGGCGUGGGCGCCGCGCCUCAGCGCCUCGGCUCCCGCAGGCUUCGGCAGCCUGCGCCAGUACAGUGUUGUAAACUACUUGUCAUGGGAUAACCAAAAUUAAACCUGGAAUCUCAGAAGAAACAAAUUGUUUGAAGAAGUUGGAUGUGCUUUUUUAAAAUUUUUCAUUCAACUAAAACUUUGUGAACUGUUUCUUGGUUGUGGUCUUCUCUAAAUUUUAAUCUUUGGCAUUCACUUCCAAAGUAUCCCUCACUAAACUUCAUAACAUUUAUUAUGUCUCUUCAUCAUUAAACUUUGAUGAAUUUACA
rnacentral:antisense_RNA from 1 species